ACACAAUGACACAGAUCCCAAAGGCGAGCAGUUAACAAAUACAUCCACUUGUCCACCAAUCACAAGGGAUCCAUUGAGUGAGCCACUGCAACAAACAGGAACCCCUUCAAAGAGCUUCCAGUCUGGUGGGUAAGUAGGACCAACUACAUAAUCCUUGGUAAGAAAAGGAGGUGGCCCUGACAAGUGCAACUCGAGAAAUGCAAUGCUGUAGAGUCCAAAGGUGUCUGACUUGAACGAAAUGAUCCCACUGGGGGACAAUGCAACAUAUACUCCAGGUAAGCAUAGUGGAAAACAUAUUGGACUUAGAUUCAAACACACCUGAACCUGUAACUUAUGAGCCAGGUGACCUUGGGGGUGAACUGGAACUUACACCUUGCUUCUCCUGUUCUCAGGAGACUUGGACUGGAACUAUACCACCAGCUGUCUCGGAUCUCCGGCUUGCAGACGGCACAUCAUGGGACUUCUCAGUCUCCAUCACUGCAUGAGCCAAUUCCUUAUAAUAAAUCUCUGUCUCUCUCAUUAUACAUAUCUUGGAGAACCCUCAGGAACCUUGACUAAUACACAAGAUAAAUUCAGUUUUAAUUGUAUGUGAGGCAUUGUGGUGGAGAUAUAUACUAGAUACCCACACGCAAGUGGGCAAAGGUCUGGGAUCAAAAUAUCUAUUUGGGAAUCUUCAGCAUAUGGGUGAUAGUUGAAAUCAUAAAAGUGGUUGAACUCUUCUGGGACUCUCAUAUAUUGUAAUAGGAUGAACGGCAGAAAGAACAGAUACAGAUACAUGUAGGUUGGUUAAUCUGAUGGUUGGAAUGUGGACUUCGUAUUCGAUGUACUUGGUGUGUGUGUCUUUGUUUAUAAUGAAGUCAAUUACUCAGUAAUGUGCAUAUAAUAAAUUCCGUAGUGUGUGUGGUUCAGUCACUCUACUAGUUUUUAAAACUGUUCCGCUAAAGCUCUCAGUUGAAAGAACCCAUGGUGGUGUUGUUAUACAUAAAUAUCUUUACUUGAUAGACCUCAUUGACUACAGUCAGGAUUCUGGUAGAUAAAUUGGGCAGAUGAGAUGACCUCCCAACCCUUCUCUGGUGCUUUCUGAAUAAGGCCUGUGUUUGUCUGGCUGUACCAUACAUUUUAUUUUCUCUUUCAUUCAUUUCUAAGCCUCAGCAACAACCCCCUUCUCCAACACCUUGAUAUAAAUUGCCUUCAAACUCUAAUAGAACUUGAGAAUGUUGAUAACCUCAAACUAUGGUAUCCUGAUGUUUCCAUAGUAACUAAUGCACACCAAGGGGGAAAAGAUGCGAGAAUAAAUGAGAAUAGCAUUUUAACAAAAUAAGUGAGGGGCAAAGAGGCUUUAGACAUGUUAUUACCUCUUGUUUAGGAAUAUGAAAAUAUUCAUCUCCUUAAUAAUGGGGUUAUAAAAGUUGCUACAAUGAGACUUGUCAGUAGCCAUUUAUAUUUCAUUUUUCUCUAUAAUCAUCAUCAUCAAAAGCAUUUAAAUGCUUCUCUGCCCAACAAUACUGUAGAGAGUGAGUUAAAUGGACAUAGUUGCCAUUUUCCUGUGAACCUGCAAUCACAAUAGGACAGGGUAGGCCAAUGUCUGUAUUCCAGUCUCCCCAGCAGAGUUUUGACCUAGUGGAUAUUAGGAGGAAUGGGGAUUCAAAGAAGACAAAUCAGUGUUGUGGCAUUUGUUUGCUUUGAUACAAGACUUUACUAGCAUCUCAGCACUUCCUUGGUUAAAGGGUGGGAGAAUAGGGUGCUGCUGUUUCUUCUUUCCUAUUUCAUAAAAAGGAGGCUUUCUGUAAGCCAGGAAGAGAGCACUCUCAAGUAAUCAAAUUGGCUGGCACCUUGAUCUGGGACUUCCAGUCUCCAGAACUCUGAGAAAAUACAUUUGCGUUGUUUAAGCCAGUGAGUCUGUGGUAUUUUGUUAUGGCAGCCUGAGCAGCCUAUACACCGGUCAGUGUACAUGCACAACCGAUUAAGCUAUUGUUAGAUAGGAAUAGAUUUAGUAAGGGUGAAGAGAAGACUUUUUAUUUUAUGUAUUUGUUUGAGACAGAGUCUCUCUGUCAUCCAGGAUGGAGUGCAGUGGUGUGAUCAUGGCUCACAUCAGCCUUGACCUUCCAGGCUCAAGUGAUCCUCCCACCUCAGUCUCCUGAGUAGCUGGGACCACAGGCAUGUGCCACCAUGCCUGGCAAAUUUUUGUAUUCUUUGUAGAGAUGGGGUUUCACCAUGUUGCCCAGGCUGGUCUUGAACUCCCUCUUGCCUUGACCUCCUAAAGUGUUGGGAUUAUAGGUGUGAGCCACCAUGCCCGGCCUAAUAUUUUUAUUUUAGAAUUAGAGAGAUUAGGCCAGGCACAGUGGCUCACGCCUGUAAUCCCAGUACUUUGAGAGGCCGAGGUGGGUGGAUCACUUGAGGUCAGGAGUUCGAGACCAGCCUGACCAACAUGGUGAAACCCUGUCUCUACUAAAAAUACAAAAAUUAGCCAGGUGUGGUGGUACGUGCCUGUAAUCCCAGCUACUCAGGAGGCUGAGGCAGAAGAAUUGCUUGAACCCGGGAGGUGGAGGUUGCAGUGAGCCGAGAUCACGCUAUUGCAUUCCAGCCUGGAUGACAGAGUGAGACUCUGUCUCAAAAAAAAAAAAAAAAAAUUAGAGAGAUUAAAUUUCCACAGAUAAGUGUAAUAACUGGUGGGGUAUCUAUCUAACCCAGAACAGAAACACAGAAAGUAGAGGGACAGAAAGUAUACUGAACAGCUCCAGGUAAGGUAGAUAGCAUGGCUGGGAUUCCGCUUAACCUGAUACUUUCCCCAUUUAGAAGAGAAAGGUUAAAAAGCACAUUCUUCUUCUUUGUCUUCUUUUUUUUUUCAUACUCAUAUCACCUUUUGAAAAUUAGUCUUCAGUUUAGCUUUUGUGCAAUGAAUUCAGAGGUUAGAAGCAAGAUGUUUUGGGAGGUAGGGUGAGGCUCAUCAGUGAGAAUGAAAGCCAAUUUCCUAGACUUGCCUGGGGAAGGUAUAUUAGAACGGGGGCCAUUUGUUCUCAAUGUUCAACUCCCACUUAUGAGUGAGAACAUGCAGUGUUUGGUUUUCUUUUCCUGUGUUAGUUUGCUGAAGAUGAUGGCUUCCAGCUUCAUUCAUAUCCCAGCCAAGGACAUGAUCUCAUUCCUUUUUAUGGCUGCGUAGUAUUCCAUGGUGUAUAUGUACCACAUUUUCUUUAUCCAGUCUAUAAUUGAUGGGCAUUUGGGUUGGUUCCACAAACCUGCACGUUCUGCACAUGUAUCCCAUUUUUUUUUAGAAGAAAUAAAGAAAAAAGAAAAGAAAAGAAAAAAAAGAAUGGGGACCAUUUAUCUUGGAUGGCCAGAGGUUUGGUAGACAUCCUCAAGUUUAGACAGGCCUUAGAGUUCAGAUGAAAAAGGAGUGUAUCUUCAUAUUAGAGGCUCAGUUUGGACAAGGGAAAUUUCAGUGUGUGUGUGUGUGUGUGUGUGUGUGUUUAAAAUUUGUGAAAUUUGAUCUUACAGUCACUGGGAGAAGGCAGAAAUUUUGAGGAAAAGGAGUCCUCAAUAAAGC
rnacentral:lncRNA from 1 species